GACGAACGCUGGCGGCGUGCUUAACACAUGCAAGUCGAACGAAAAGAGGGAAAGAGCUUGCUCUUUCCGGAAUUGAGUGGCAAACGGGUGAGUAACACGUAAACAACCUGCCUUCAGGAGGGGGACAACAGACGGAAACGACUGCUAAGACCGAAUAAGUUCCAAGGGCCGCAUGGCCCAUGGAAGAAAAGUUGGCCUCUACCUGUAAGCUAUCGCCGGAAGAGGGGUUUGCGGCUGAGUAGCUGGCUUGAGGGGUAACGGCCCAACAAGGCGACGAUGAGUAGCCGGUCCGAGAGGGUGAACGGCCACACUUGAAUUGAGACCCGGUCCCGACUCCUACGGGGGGCAGCAGUGGGGAAUCUUCCGCCAUGGGCGAAAGCCUGACGGAGCCACGCCGCGUGAGUGAUGACGGCCUUCGGGUUGUAAAACUCUGUGAUCCGGGACGAAAAGGCAGAGUGCGAAGAACAAACUGCAUUGACGGUACCGGAAAAGCAAGCCACGGCUAACUACGUG
rnacentral:rRNA from 1 species